rnacentral:rRNA from 1 species
CAGCAGUCGCCGCGGGAAUACGUAGGUGGCAAGCGUUAUCCGGAAUUAUUGGGCGUAAAGCGCGCGUAGGCGGUUUUUUAAGUCUGAUGUGAAAGCCCACGGCUCAACCGUGGAGGGUCAUUGGAAACUGGAAAACUUGAGUGCAGAAGAGGAAAGUGGAAUUCCAUGUGUAGCGGUGAAAUGCGCAGAGAUAUGGAGGAACACCAGUGGCGAAGGCGACUUUCUGGUCUGUAACUGACGCUGAUGUGCGAAAGCGUGGGGAUCAAACAGGAUUAGAUACCCCAGUAGUCCCUGUCUCUUAUAC